ACCUGGCUGGCUCAGUUGGUAGAGCAUAUGACUUCUGAUCUUGGGGUCAUGAGUUCAAGCCCCACGUUGGGCA
rnacentral:tRNA from 1 species